rnacentral:rRNA from 1 species
CUACGGGAUGCUCCAGUGGGGAAUAUUGCACAAUGGGCGAAAGCCUGAUGCAGCGACGCCGCGUGAGCGAAGAAGUAUUUCGGUAUGUAAAGCUCUAUCAGCAGGGAAGAUAAUGACGGUACCUGACUAAGAAGCACCGGCUAAAUACGUGCCAGCAGCCGCGGUAAUACGUAUGGUGCAAGCGUUAUCCGGAUUUACUGGGUGUAAAGGGAGCGCAGGCGGUACGGCAAGUCUGAUGUGAAAGCCCGGGGCUCAACCCCGGUACUGCAUUGGAAACUGUCGAACUAGAGUGUCGGAGGGGUAAGCGGAAUUCCUAGUGUAGCGGUGAUAUGCGUAGAUAUUAGGAGGAACACCAGUGGCGAAGGCGGCUUACUGGACGAUCACUGACGCUGAGGCUCGAAAGCGUGGGGAGCAAACAGGAUUAGAUACCCCUGUAGUC